GCUGGGAAGACAUCUGUUGGUGAUAACCUGUCUGUGUUGUAUGAGGUGCGUUGGGUCUGUUCAUCACGCUUGUACCCAAGGGUAUCCAUUCAGGACCAUGCAGAUGUUUGGCCUUUCCUAGUUGACAUCUUUGUACUGUUGCUCGCUGUUGAUGCUGGCCUGACCUAAUGUCUCCCUGGGCGUGUGACGAAGCCUUGUUUUAGGUUCCUCCAUGAAGAGAAUUAUUUUGCACUAUGGUCCAUUACCCAUCAGACAUCAGACUAUAAGACCCAAGACCCUCUGGCCUCACUACACACGACUUCCCAAGGACCGCCACUUGUGUCACUGUCUGGGUGAGGCUGGAGCUGCCUACACUUCAACCCAGCUCAGUCACAGUUCUGUUUUUUUUCUGCAUUUGUGUAAGAGUAUUAUUACCUUUUAAUAUUAUUUCCUACCUAUCUUG